rnacentral:sRNA from 1 species
UGACGAAAGUUGGUCUUUGAUAGCGAGU